rnacentral:rRNA from 1 species
UACGGAGGGUGCAAGCGUUGUUCGGAAUUACUGGGCGUAAAGCGCGUGUAGGCGGCUACCUAAGUCUGAUGUGAAAGCCCGAGGCUUACCCUCGGAAGCGCAUUGGAAACUGAGUAGCUAGAGUAUCGGAGAGGAGGGUGGAAUUCCUGGUGUAGCGGUGAAAUGCGUAGAUAUCAGGAAGAACACCGGUGGCGAAGGCGGCCCUCUGGACGAAUACUGACGCUGAGACGCGAAAGCGUGGGGAGCAAACAGG